AUUGAACGCUGGCGGCAGGCCUAACACAUGCAAGUCGAACGAGUGGCGCACGCGUGAGUAAAGUUCGGGAAACUGUCCCACGGAGGGGGAUAUCCCCUGGAAACGGUAGCUAUUCCCGCACACCCUCGGCUGUGCCCAGGUGGGAUUUGCUAGUAUGUGGGGUAACGGCUCACCUAGGCGACGAUCCCUAGCUGGUCUGAGAGGAUGACGAGCCACACUGGAACUGAGACACGGUCCAGACUCCUACGGGAGGCAGCAGUGGGGAAUAUUGCACAAUGGGCGAAAGCCUGAUGCAGCCAUGCCGCGUGUGUGAAGAAGGCCUUCGGGUUGUAAAGUACGUUCAGCGAGGAGGCGUUACUCGCAGAAGAAGCACCGGCUAACUCCGUGCCAGCAGCCGCGGUAAUAC
rnacentral:rRNA from 1 species